UACGUAGGGUGCGAGCGUUAAUCGGAAUUACUGGGCGUAAAGCGUGCGCAGGCGGUUUUGCAAGCCGGAUGUGAAAUCCCCGGGCUCAACCUGGGAAUGGCAUUCGGGACUGCAAGGCUGGAGUGCGGCAGAGGAGACUGGAAUUCCUGGUGUAGCAGUGAAAUGCGUAGAUAUCAAGAGGAAUACCGAUGGCGAAGGCAGGUCUCUGGGCUGACACUGACGCUCAUGCACGAAAGCGUGGGGAGCAAACAGG
rnacentral:rRNA from 1 species